rnacentral:lncRNA from 1 species
UAAUUUCAUUUCAAUUUCAUUUCAUUUAAUUUAAAACGCUCAAUCUUUUGCUCACUGCAAAAUGGUCUUAUCUGUUUGAACGUUCAGUCAAGUUCUCUGACCAUGACCCAAAGAUCGAAUGUCAAAAUUCGUUACUUGACCUUUCAAGGCCGUUACAGCAGAGGUGACUUCCGGGAGGUGAAUCCAUCUUGUUUUGGUCACGUUUUUAAAACUUAAGGACGCUGGUAAAAUUUAGUUAUUACCUUCAUAUUUUGUGGAUUUGCGAACCUUAAGUAUAGAAACUAAUCAGGGAUUUCCUGGAAAUUAAGGAACUCAUGAGAUUUAUGGAUAUACGUUCCUGAUUUGACUUAAAAAAAACCAAACUUAAAGGUCACCCACCAUCUACGACCUUUUUUUGUCCUUCUAUAUUUCUUUCUUUUGAUUCGGAUACCAAUUACAUACAUUGCUACAAGAACCUUAUGUGACACAUGGUCUAACAGCCUAUACGAUUGUUUUCGUCACCAUCUACCCUAGUACAAUAAAAUACAAUCCUGUUCAAUACCGUAUCUGGACACAGUGGAUGACUGCCGUUCAAACAGGAGACUAAGUAAGAGAGAAAGGAGACCAAUAUAACACCAACAAAAACUCAAGUAAGAUCUUUCCUGUUUUCUUGGUAUCAAUAUUACAAGAUAAUAUAAAGUGUGUUGUUCACUUGCAGUGAAAAUCAGUGAGGGACAUUUGGCUUACCUGGCAUAUUAUUUAAUUAUUUAUUAACAUCGUAUUUAUAUAUUUGUACAUUGAUUCAUUUAGGUAUAAUUUCGAAUAAUUUUUAAUAAACCAGUGUAAUCCCAAAAGUACUUUUGAGGAACAUCCCAUAUAUAGUCACCUAACCUCUUUUCUGUAUUAUAUGUAAACAACACUAUCAGGUUCAGGUACCCACUUAUUCUUGUUAUUUUUGUAACCUACCUAUGUAAAUUAUAAAUAAUAUAGAUCGAAUAACAUACA